AGAUUCGGACAGUCUGACUGUGAUUCGAAGGAAGCCAAUGUGAUAUUUGGAAUGAGGGUAUCGAGGAGGGUUGGUGGUUUUAUUUUGGGUGGGAACAGUGAAGAUGACGUUUCCCACCGGCGAGGAUUUGCAGAGAGUUAUACGAGGAUAGAAGCCUGGUCUAGGGUUAGUGACAAUUUCGGACAAUUUUAUUAUUCAUGAGGGAUGCAACGUUGGACGUUGGAUGCGGGUGAAUGGAUGGCUCAGAUUAGAUCGACCAAACAGUGGCGUUUUGGCCUUAAAAAACUGGACCGGGUCUGGGAACGUUUGGGCCGGGUUAUUGUGUGUAUUGAAAUUGACUUGGGAAUAUAUAACAAUGGCCCAAUUCAGCAACCUUUCCCUUUUGUUCUCUUAUUUUUUUAUUAAUCUCUUUUUGUUAUUCUUCUUUUAAUUUACUUUUUUUUUAUUUUCCAAAUUAUAAAUUAGUAUUGUAUGUUUUUCUGAUUUUAUAAAGACGUAUAAAUGAAAACUAAAAUAUAAACCAAACUAACUCAUGCCUAAGAUUACUUUUAAAAACUAAUGUGCGACAAUUCCACAAUUAAUGCAACAUGAACUAUUUUUUUAUUUUCUCAUUUUUAUAAAACAAAUAAUUUGAUAAUUAAUCCUAAAAUAUAGAAUGAAAUCCUAAAAUGCAAAUGCAUAUAUUUUUGUAUUUUUUUAUGAAUUAUCAUGCACAAAUAAAAUGCAACAAUUAUCAGAAAAUGACAAAAAAUGCACAAAAAUUGUAAAAGUAAAGAAAAAUUAUUUGUUUUGAUUUUUAUGGAAAUAAUUCAUAUAUAGGGCAAAAAUCACGUGCUCACAGCUGCCCCUCUUCGCUCGGAUACAUGAAAUGUUUUCGGGCAAAGAUAAGUGAGCAAAUAUGAGCGAUUUUUGCCCAUUUGAAAAUUCCGUUGUGAAGCAUUUUGAAAAGUUUGGACCGCACCCUCCUUCGGAGAUUGCCUACAUAUCCUAGGCUAAGCAGGAAUCAGGUCAGUGUUGUUCGGGAGUGUCUGGUAGCUGGGACUACCAGGAGCUGUGAUUUCACUGCGAUUGCUGCUGCUGCCAUUGGUCACUGACCUUCCUUAUUACACCAAUCAAAAUAAAAGAAGCUAGCCUAAGCUAUGAACUACGAAUUACAAGAAUCCUAUCUAAAAAUCUUCAAACUUGGUCUUGCACUUCCUUGUUGUCUUGUAUUCUCUCUUGUUGUAACUCAUUGUUGUUACUUCAAAUUGUGCACCGAGAUGUUGUUCUUUCCUUCCAAAUUGCUGAACUUGAAUAAAAUUGAACUUGAAUGUAUUCCUAUGUUCUUCAGGCGGGCUCCUGACUUCACAAAAAUAGACAAAACAAAGAAAACUUUUUGCCCCAGUUUGGAAAACUGGGGUUUAUUAUCGGAUACUAAUACGAAUUUGAAAACUAAAACUUGAAUUGUAAUACCUCUGUUCUUCAGGCGGGCUCCUGACUUCAAAACUUGAAUGUAUUCCUCUGUUCUCCAGGCGGGCUCCUGACUUCAUAAAAAUAGGCAGGUGGGCUCCUGACUUCAAAACUUGAAUGCUGACUUCAAAACUUGAAUGUAUUCCUCUGUUUUCCAGGCGGGCUCCUGACUUCACAAAAAUAGGCAAAACAAAGAAAACUUUCUACCCCAGUCUGAAAAACUAGGGUUUGUUACCACAUAUUAUCAAAAAUUGACAACUAAAACUUGAAUUGUGAUAAGGCUGAAAUAUGACUUUAAAAGCUGAAACGUACCUUAAAAUUUGCAAUUUAUCUCAGGUGAAAAAUUCAUCAGACUAAGAUUUUUAUCUUAAGAAAAAUAUUCAACAGACUAAGACUUUGACUCUAGGAGAUAAUUCAUCAGACUAGGUCCAUUUUGUGCGGUCUCAGGAGAAAGAUUCAUCGGACUGAGAUUUUGACUCUAGGAGAUAUUCAUCGGACUAGGUUCAUUUUUGCGCGAUCUCAGGAGAAAGAUUCAUUGGACUGAGAUUUUGACUUUAGGAGAUAUUCAUCAGACUAGGUCAAUUUUUGCGCGAUCUCAGGAGAGAGAUUUAUCGGACUGAGAUUUGACUCUAGGAGAUGUUCAUCAGACCAGGUCCAUUUUGUGCGAUCUCAGGAGAAAGAUUCAUCAGACUGAGAUUUUGACUCUAGGAGAUAUUCAUCAGACUAGGUCCAUUUUUGCGCGAUCUCAGGAGAAAGAUUCAUCAGACUGAGAUUUUUACUUUAGGAGAUAUUCAUCAGACUAGGUCUAUUUUGUGCGUUCUCAGGAGAAAGAUUCAUCAGACUGAGAUUUUGACUCUAGGAAAUAUUCAUCAGACUAGGUCCAUUUUUGUAUGAUCUCAGGAGAAAUAUUCAUCAGACUGAGAUUUUGAAUCUAGGAGAUAUUUAUCAGACUAGGUCUAUUUUUAUGUGAUCAGGAGAAAGAUUCAUCGGACUGAGAUUUUGACUCUAGGAGAUAUUCACCAAACUAGGUCCAUUUUUGCGAUCUCAGAAGACAGAUUUACCAGACUGAGAUUUUGACUCCAGGAGAUAUUCAUCGUACUAGGUCCAUAUUUGUAUGAUCUCAUGAGAAAUAUUCAUCGGACUGAGAUUUUGACUCUAGGAGAUAUUCAUCAGACUAGGUCCAUUUUUACGUGAUCUUAGGAGAAAUAUUCAUCGGACUGAGAUUUUGACUCUAGGAGAUGUUCAUCAGACUAGGUCCAUUAUUGCGCGAUCUCAGGAGAAAUAUUCAUCGGACUGAGAUUUUGACUCUAGGAAAUGUUCAUCAGACUAGGCCCAUUUUUGCGAGAUCUCAGGAGAAAGAUUCAUCGGACUGAGAUUUUGACUCUAGGAGAUGUUCAUCAGGCUAGGUCCAUUUUUGUGUGAUCUUAGGAGAAAGAUUCAUCGGACUGAGAUUUUGAAUCUAGGAGAUAUUCAUCAGACUAGGUCCAUAUUUGUAUGAUCUUAGGAGAAAUAUUCAUCAGACUGAGAUUUUGACUCUAGGAGUUAUUCAUCAGACUAGGUCCAUUUUUUGAAUUCAAACAUUCCUUUCCUUCUUUUCAAAUUGUGCCUUCCUAUCUUACGUCUUUCGCCCCAAAUUAUGCCUUCCUUUUAUUUCAACUUUUCUGCCUUACUUUCCUUACACCAACUUCUGCCUUCCUUUUUCAACUUAUGCCUUCCAAUCUUUCCCAACUUUUACCCUUCUUCCCAAGUUAUGCCUUCCUUUCUUUUUCCAAUUUCUUCCUUCCUUUUUCUUUUCAACUUCUGCCUUCCUUUCCAAGUUAUGCCUGUCUUUCUUUUUCCCAACUUCUGCAUUUCUUCCUGAAUUAUGCCUUCUUUUCUUUUUCACACUUCUGCGUUUAUCUUAGGUGAAAGAUUCAUCAGACUAAGAUCUUCAUCUUAGGUCAAAAAUUCAUCGGACUAAGAUUUUCUUCCUUCAUCUUAGGUGAAAUAUUCAUUAGAUUAAGAUUUUGUCUUAGGUGAAAAUUUCAUCGGACUAAGUUAUCUCAACCAUUUUCUCCGAAACUUGUUUUAUCUACCUUCUAACUUGAAUUACCUUCUUUCAUAACUGCUUCCCAAAAGAUUGGUGUUGUCCUCCUUCAAAAACUGCUUCCCUAACAACUUGGUGUUCCAAUCCUCCGAAAAUUACUUUCCUUAAAACUGGUAUUUCUUUCCUGAACACUAGUUCACUCUUCUUCUGUUAACAAACUUGUAUUUGACCUUCAUGUUCUUCGAAUGGGUGCCCGACUUCACAAACAAUUUUCAAAACGGUAGUUUAAGAAACUUGUAUUUGACCCUCAUGUUCUUCGAAUGGGUACCCAACUUCAAAAAAAAAUUCAAAACGACAGAAAAUUUUCUACCCCAGUUUGAUAAUCUUCCUGUAGCAUAUCUUUCAAUAACAUUUCCAUGCCCCUGUUUCAAAUCAAAGAAAAUUCUGUCAGUUUAAAGCGCGGUGGUUGGUUGUGGUACUCCUGCUGGGAAUGACUUUCCUUUUCUCCUUUUUAUGCUUUGUGUUGUCCGACCAUCUUUGAAACUUGGCUAUUAAUUUCUGCCCUUCUUGCCGACUAUCUCUUAAUUAUUACUUCUAAUCUUAUUAUCUAACCUCAUAUGUUUUCUAUGAUAGCUGAUUCUUCUUGAAAAUCUUGCAUGUUUACUGAUUAACCACUCUUACCGUCAUCUGUGCCACCAAAAUACAUUUUUCCCCGUUCAAAUCCAAUAUCUUCUUUUUGGGGCAUUGCUCAUGAACUAGCAUACUCCUGUCCUUUGAAUCUUACAUGAAUUCCCAAUUUACUUCCAUUGCCUCCCACAGUAUGUUGUUAUUUCCUGGCUUAUCUGAUGUCCUUGUCCCUGAGGUCUGUUGCUCCCUUACUUGCCGAUAACUUUCAUUUCCAUCCCCGCUUGUUUCUUGCCUAACCACUUCAAUUAUCAUCCUUAUCACAGAACACAGCUCUUCUGCAUUCAAAACCCUAUACCUUCUGUUUGUUGCACUGUUUCUGUGCUGACUUUAACAAUCCUUGUGCCUCAACCUAAAGCAUGUUGAUUAUUACCAUCUCAAUGCUCUUAUUGUUUUUCUUGACUUGUGAUGCUUUGAUAUGCUAGCCAGACCCCAUUUUGUGCAAUUGGAAAGCUGGUGGCAAAUUUUGAAAUCAUUUCUCACUUGUUAUGACCGAAAAGACUCAAAAAGGGGAAAUGAACGAAACAGAGGAAUGGAGUGAAGGAAAAAGAAAGAGAUGAAUCCUAAAGGGAAAACUAUGAAGUAAAAACCUAUCAAAUGAGGAUACCAACUCUAAUGGCCAUGACAUGCACCUGCGGCCUAUUCUGUUAAGCAAAUCUGACGUUCAGCUCUUGUUGUGCCUUUUCAUCGUGAAACUGGGCUUCAAUGCUCCACUUAUCCAAUAUGAUUCGCAAUCCUUAUUCGACUUGUUUUGCCCGAAGGGUUUUCACCAUCAAGCAUCUCUCAUUUUGUUCUUUCUCUCAACUUACCGUCGCCUCAAGGUGCCUGUGAAGGUAAAACCAAUAAGACUCUCUCAUUUUCUUUUCUCUCAACUUUCAUCGCUUUGCGAUACCCAUGAGGGUUUUCAUCAAUCCAGCUCUCUAUUUUCCUUGCUUGGACCGGCGUGUUGCCCCUGACAUGAAUUACCCUUACCUGCUUGACUUGGCAUUUCUCCAAGACUGAUCGGAAGGUCUUUUUUUGGACCGUAAUGUGGGCUUUUGGAUAGGGUUGGAAAGAAAGGAUAUAAAGGCUCAAAACAAUUCAAAAUGGGGUUAAAACUACAACGUUCAGAAUCCGAUUUCUUUCAACAAUCACAACUUCUGCCCUAGUUUCUUGGUUGGUGACUUUUGGAUUUUAUUUUGGUAUGAUUGAACCUCAGAGAGGUUGCCUACGUACCCUUUUGCGAUCAAGUAAAAUGUAGUUCACGUCAUCAAUCAUAAAUUUUGCCCUAGUUUCUUGGUUGGGGACUUUUGGAUUUUAUUUUGGUAUGACUGAACCUCAGAUAGGCUGCCUAUGUACCCUUUUCGGAUCAAGUCAAACGUAGUUCACGUCAUAGAAACUACGUUGUUGUGAUUUUCUUUCUCUUCUUUUCUUUCUGUUUCUUGCUUUUUCCUUUCUUUUCUUCAUUUUUCCUUUCUUUUCUUUUCUUUUCUUUUCUUUUUUUUUCUUUUUUUCGUUUAUUUUCCUUUUCUUCCUUUCUUUCUUUUUUUCUUCUUCCUUUUCUUCUUUUCCCUUUCUUUUUCUUUUUCCUUUCUUCUUUUUCAUUUCCUUCCUUUUCUUUUCAUUGUUUUUCCAUUUGCUUAUCUCUGGAACUUGCGUUUCUUUGAUUAUGCUGUUGAUUCCGAAAGAGGGGUAUGAAAGAAAAUAAAAACAGCUCAAAAGGGGUAACGAUGGAAAAAAGUAUUUGGAUAGCAGAACAAAAACGCCUUCGUCAUUUCAACCCUCAAAAUAUGCCAAGUACAAACAGGUACAAUCAAAAUGCAGAAACCAUACAGAGUAUCUCUUGACUGAAUCGGAAUUGACGGCCAUUUCCAACAUUUUUUUCUACAUCUGUCUGACAUAAUGUGUCAUUGGGCAACACUGCUACUCUUAUUACCACGUCCGGGCCCCUGUAAAUUCGGCCGACUUGUUCUUUUCGGGGAUUUUUCUUAUGUUUUAAUUGACCCAGCAUCUCAUGGUUCGCGCAUCAAACAAUCUCAAAACGUCCAAAUCUGUUCUUAUUUCCUCAAGUGCCCCCAUCGUCUUCAAAAUGGUUUUAAAGCUCUGACUGAGAAUUAUGCGUGCAUGUCAUGUCAAUAGAACCAGCAGGAAAAGAACUUUAGAAAGAAAAGAUAACUAAACAAAAAAAUGACUAGAAAUGGCAUAACAUAGAGGAUUGUAUUAAACAGAUGGUGGAAGGGUUAACAAUAAAACAAGCAACACAACUGGGGUACAGUACUAAAACAAACCUAGAUAACACUACAUUAUAUAUGACGACUAAAGAAACUAAACACAUAAAAGGAUAGAAGGGUUUGAAUCACAAGACAAUAUCCGGAUUACAACCCUGAAAAUAACCCGAACAACAGAAAUGACAAUAAAAUAGACCACCAAAACUUCUCUCCGGCCGGCCAAGAGAUGAAGCGUCUUUCCAAUUACCAAGCUUGACAUCUUAGCCACUGAGUUCUGCAUUAACAGCAUUAGGAACUUUACAAACUUUCAUCACAUAAUCCUCAUCAAGUUGUUUUUGGUUCUUCAAGGUUCUCAAAGAAUUGUCACAUUCCUUUUUAAAACAAAUCAUACCCGCCGUGUCUACCUCAUUGCGCACAAGCGAUGGAUUUUGGCUGGUGUCUGGUGCAUCCGGAUUUUGUACGAUGAUGUUACCUGCGUUAAUAAGCUCCUGAAUUGCUUUCUUCAGCUUCCAUCACUUUUCUGUGUCAUGCCCCGGAGCAUCUGAGCCAUAUGCACACUUUAGAGAAAAAUCACACACUUUUCCGUGUCAUUCCCCGGAGCAUGUGAGCAAUAUGCACACUUUAGAGAAAAAUCACAUUUCAGAGGGUUUGGCAUUUUUAUCUGAAUCGGCUUCAGCAUGCCCACUUGCUUCAAUUUUUGGAACAAACUGGCAUAUGACUCUCCCGUAGAGGUGAAAGCCUUUUCUCGUUUCAGCAACCACUCAUUCCUAAACGCCUGAUUUGGCCUAAAACCUGACCCAGGGAUUUUCUGGUAUGCUCGUGGGGGUGGAUAGGCAUUUCGUGGAGCUGGUACUUGGAGAGUGAGGUAUGUCUUUGGGAAUUCUAUGGGAAAAAGUAAUGUUAGGGAGGGUCAUCCAGUGCACGAGGAUAUUCACGGGUACGAUGUCGAGGUUGGAAAUGUUUAUCAGGAGAGUCAUUUGGAUCAUCCUUUCUGUUUCUCUUUCUCCCUUCCGAGCUUAACGAGAUGUCUUGAAUGUAUUUCGAGCAACUUAUUAUUUUGUCUUACUUGAUUCCUUGUUCUACGAACUCCCCCAUUCUUAACACAUCAUCGAAAGGUCUGCCCGGGAUCAAAUGAUUGAAGUAAGUGGGACCCUGGGCCUUUAUGAAAAUUUAAACCAUCUCUUCUUCACCAAUCGGGGUAUUAACUCGAGCCGUUUGCUCUUUCCAGCUGAGCCCAAACUCUCUAAUGCUCUCCCCUGGUUUCUUUUACAUUCUAGAUAGGGAGGAGCGGUUUGGGACAAUGUCUUUAUCGUACUGAAAAUGUCGUACAAAAUCUCGAGCCAUGACGCCUAACGUGUGACACCUCCCGACAUCUUGACGAUCAUGCCAUUCCAAGGCUGCCUCAGUCAGGCUCUCACUGAAAUACGACAUCAACAACUCAUCUUCCCUGCCGACAUUCCUCGUUUUGUUGCAAUCACCCUUAAGUGGGCUACUGGAUCUCCUCGCCCAUCAUACAAAUUAAACUUGGGCAUCUUAUACUCUUCCAGCUUUCUAGAUAUCUCAUCCCGUCCCACUGUUUUAGCAAGCUUCGUAGUCUCACCGGGAGACUCAAACUGAAGAGCGUAGUGGUAUGGACUCGAUGCCUUGACAAUUGAUUCUAGAGCAUAAUGUUGGGCAUCGAGGACUAAUGGCGGAGGAUACCCACUGGCCCAAGCUCUGUGCAUUACGACUAUCUGUCUUUUCAACCUCAAAACCUCUUCUUUCAAUUCAGAUUCAGAUUCAACAACUCCUCUAGACGAAUCAGUAAUACUUGUGUUUAACCCUUUACCAGCCAUGACUGCCUUGCUUUUUGACCUUGUGUUGUAUGGAUGAGUUUCCACAAACCAACCACCUCAACUUUCUUCAUAACUCGAAACAAAACAUGUUAGAAUGGAUUGAGUCGGUCCUCAGUAUUCACAACAUCUUUUUCCAUUUUUUUUUAAUUCUUCUUUUUCAUUUUUCAUUCAUGUUUUUUUCUUCUUUUUGUUUUGGUUGUGGUCGAAUCUUAUGUGGAUUGCAUACGUAUCGUGACCCCGCACGAAUAAGACCAGGCGUAGUUCGUGCCAAUAAAAGGUAAACGACAAUAAAAUGUUUUUUGAAUUUUCUAUUAUUUUCUAAUAACCAUAAAAUAUUUUUGGUAUUUACUUGACCACUGACUCUUUUCUAUUUUUUUCAAAUUAAAAUAGAUGACUCGGUAUUGCAAAUACGGCCUUCGAACUCCUCGGGGAUGAAGAUUUUAAGGCUGUGAGAGUCAGAAAUCAAAAUAUGAUCAAAGGUGGCUAUUUAUGCAAGGUUAGCCUUCCGGCGUUCCGUUUGGAAACAUUUGGCUAUUUUUGACAAAAACGGCAUCACCUGGUUUAUUUGUGAUGAAAAUUAAAAUUUUGGAUAUUUUUUGCUAUUUUUGCAAAUGGGAGGAUGGACCCGAUAAGGGUUGCCUACAUAUCUCACGUCCUGUGAGAAUCAAACCAUGCGUAGUUCGGGCAAAUAAACUAACUAAAAAAUUUUAAAACAAAACUUUUUCUAAGUUUUUCUCCAUUUUCUUUUUUUUUUUGAAAUCAAAUCAAAAUGAUCAUUAUUUUUUAAUUUUCAAACAAAUUUUCCCAAAGUAAAAGACUUUUUUUAUGUUUCUUUUUAUUUUAAUAAAACAAACUACAUAAAAAAUAUUUUCUUCUUCCUUUUUUUUCAAAUUUCGGCAGAGUUUCGACAGUACUGGGGCGUUGGUUUUUCUAAAGUAAUCAAUUAAUUCCCUAACCGUUAUUUCUCUCUCUUUCUCUUUUCUCUUUUUCUCAAUUUUCCAACAUUCCCGAGAUUCAUAAACCGGUCAACAUGCAGGUUCGAAACAAAUAUAUGUACAUAGAAAGUAGGAUGCAUCAGUAUAAUUUUUUUCAUUUCAGGUUGCUAGCCCUAGACGGGCCCAACCCUUGUGUUGAGUCCCCUAAGUCAAAUGCAAUAUGAUGCAAAUAAGCGUUCCUACUAGGGAUCUGGCAUGAAGUCAAGUUAUUCUAUAUUCAAAACCUGGAUCGGUGUUCUAGACUGUGUACCCGAGCGGAACACUCGAGUCGAGGAGGGGGCAACUUACCGGGAACCAAAAGGCCAUCCGGCAUCGUAGCUUGUCCGAAUCUCGACCAGUAAGCACAUCCCCAGAGGUAAAUAGAGAAGGGUGUCGGCACAGUAUAUAUACAAUUAAGAUAAUAUCAAAGCGGUAACAUUUAGCACACACAGCAUGUAAGAAAAAUCAGAUAUAACCAAAUACAGCAAUUCAUCUAAGCUCGAAUUCUGAAUCCUGAACAAAAUGUUCUGGGUUCUUUUUCCCGUCAGAGUCGCCGGAGCAGUCACACCUCCUUUUUCCGCUAUACACCCUGCAAAGGGAGCGUAAAGGAGUUUUUCCAAUCAAAGGAUAAUUAAAAUGGGAUUUGGUUAUUAUUGAUUCAGAGUCGCCACUUGGGAGAUUUAUGGUGUCCCAAGUCACCGAUUUGAAUCCCAAACCGANNNNNNNNNNNNNNNNNNNNNNNNNNNNNNNNNNNNNNNNNNNNNNNNNNNNNNNNNNNNNNNNNNNNNNNNNNNNNNNNNNNNNNNNNNNNNNNNNNNNNNNNNNNNNNNNNNNNNNNNNNNNNNNNNNNNUUUACAGUCUGCAAACCAGAAAUCCGAGUAAGGAAUUCUGUUUACCCGGGAGAAGGUGUUAGGCAUUCCUGUGUUCCGUGGCUCUAGCACGGUCGCUUAACUGUAGUAUUUGAUUUUAUCUGAUUCUAAUAUAUGCUAGCUUAUGUUCUUUUUAUUUAUAUAACGCUUUUACGAUUAUUUAUUUUAAAAGACUUGCGACGUCGUGAAAACAUAUUACUAAUCACGUCACCACCAGUGUACACGUGAUCAUCGACACGUUUCGACUUCGUCGAGAUUUGUAUUUGGGUCGCAUCAAUGCACACUCGUAUUUAAGAAUGUAAUUUAUUAAAGCCACACCUAAUAGAGUCUAGCGCGUUAUUAUCCUUUGGGAGGGCCGUGAAAUUCACUAAACGGAGCUUUCCGAUUUUCUAAAUAUUUUAAACCUUUAUUGAGGGCCCCGCAAGUUUGCAAUUUUUAUUGAGCGAGGCUCGUCUCAUUUAUUUUAAAAGGAUAAACCUACAAAGCGACUACAUUUUUUAUUUUUAUUUUUCUUUCUAAAAGAAAAGAAAAUUUCCUAAUUGAUUAUUAUUAAAAGCUUGUGUUUCGUGUUCAAGUUCGGGUCCAAACAAAAGGACGAACCUUUUAAUUUAAAACCCGCUACCUAACCCAAAACCCAAGCUUAUAUUUCUUGCUAAAUUAUAGACUGAAACUUUCGAGACAAAUACACAUUUAUCAUGAUUCAGUGUUCCUAAUUAAGCAUAAGAAGAACCUAUCAAUCCAUUUUCCACAUUCAACAUAUUUGCUAAUAUUGAAAGUUAAAUUAAUUACUGAAAUGAGAUUAUAAUUACGCUAAUGAAUGACUACAGCAGCCCUGAUUAUCUAUGUUUAACACAAUGCUAAAGUGAAAUUCAUUGUAGUAUUGAAUCCUAACAUGAAUAUGGCAUAGACAUUAAUUUCCAACUCACUUAUUAACCCGAUGAGGGCUCUGAGGAUCACAAAACAUCAAAAUCUCUUUCUUGUUUAAGUUGUCUCUGAUCUCUAAGACCAAACCCACAAAAAUGGAAUUGAACUAAUUAAAACUAACGAACAACAUCUAACUUUUACAGUCCAAAGUUUAUUACAUAUCCAAAAAGUUCAAAACAAAACAAGUCUCAGAUUUAAUACCAAUCAAUGAAAUUAAACUAAACAAACGCAUCAUAUCGACUAUCUAUAAUUACGGGCAUUCAAAUGAGCAUGGAUCUGGAAUAAAACUUCAUUUCACCCAAAUUUGGAAUUACAUCAGGAUGAAUUCGAACUGUGUACCCGGGGAUUGAAAUUCCAAAACAGAAGAAGAAGGAGUCAGCCAAGCAGACCAGCAAUAAACAAUAGUCGAACUCAAUACAAACGUCGAAGCACAGCCAGGGAAGACUCCAACAAAACUUCAGCGAAAUCCACAAUUAAGCAUAAAUAAAACUCAACUACUAAAGACUCAAAUAGGCCCAAAUGAACUAGGAAUGGAAUCCAAGUGUACCAAAUAACCCAUCAGCAAACAUAAACCAACAAUCAAACUCGACUAAACCUCAAUUUGACUUGAAAAACCAGCCAAGUUCAUUCGAAUUUCAACUCAAUGAGCUUCUGAACCUCAAGCAAUUAGAUAUCAAGGUAGAGAAUGCAAAUUAAACACCCAGACUUGAAUUAAACUGAUAUCUCCAGGGAGCAGUAAAUAUUUCUGGAUUUUUUAAGGUUUUUUUUGUUGUUCUUGGUUUUUCUUUUGAAAAGAAUGUAAAAAUCUAAGAGAAUUUCAUAUAUGAAGUUUUAAUUCCAGAUUUGGAAGCUUUGGGGAGUAUUUUUGGGGAUCUUUUUGCUACAAAAACUUGCUCUUCAAGGCAAUUUGAUGCUCUUUUUAUAGGUCUAAGGGAGGCCAGCCUUACAUUUUCUGUUUCCUUUCUAAUCAUUUUUAAAUUUUGUUUUAUUCAAAUUCACUCCUAAGUUAACUUCUAAUUCUAAAAUAAAACCCAUUCCUCCCCCAGAUAAGAGCUGUCAUUCUCUCCUCACUCCUCACAUGCCUUUCCAACCUUAUCUACUAGAACCUUCCUACAUAACAGCCUAUAACUCUAAUUGAAACUGAAAACUAAUCACACUGAGUCAUUAAAGAAAACUAACAUUUGAGUUACCUAAUCAAGAUGUUGAAAACAGAUUGCAAUGUACAAUUACGGGUCGACUUAUUAUCAGAAUGCACCAACAUUAGUAUUAAGAGCAAUAUUGGACUGAACAUCUAACUGGGAAAAACAAUUUGCGAGAAGGAUAUUGAACUGAAGCUAAUUGACUGAGUUAAUUAGAACUAAACUAAUACCUAACAAUUAGACCAACAUUUGUCCAACUAAAACUGAAUAAGACAAAAUUCAAAUAAGCUAAACAAAAAUGGGAAUUAAACUCAGAGCGAAAUUGGACCGAUAUUAAACUGGCAAUCAAACUUAUUAGGAAACUAAUUUCGAUUAACAGAUAAAAAGAGAAACUAAAAAAAAAACAAAGAGGGACUCACUUCUUGAAAAUUGGUUCAUAGUUUGUGAAGUCUUGGUGGUAUUCGACCCUCGCCAAAGGUCGAUUCUUCACGAGGAGACGAGGCAACCUUGGCGUGUUAAUUUGAGACCAAACGAAGGACCUAAGGACUUGACUACCAUCUUUGACUGAAAAUUCGAGGCGUUGUAGACUGAUUUGAAGGAGACCCUUGAUGAGUCGGAGGAGAAGGUCUAGUGGUGUGAGUUUGGACGCGUUUGGGCAAGUUUCGACUUGGCCGGACAAUUUCAGUCGAAGAUUUGGACAGUCUAACUGUGAUUCGAAGGAAGCCAAUGUGAUAUUUGGAAUGAGGGUAUCGAGGAGGGUUGGUGGUGUUAUUUUGGAUGGGAACGGUGAAGAUGGCGUUUCCAGCCGGUGAGGAUUCCGGCGAGGAUUUGCAGAGAGUUAUACGAGGAUGGAAGCCUGGUCGUUUAGGGU
rnacentral:lncRNA from 1 species